rnacentral:rRNA from 1 species
UGGCGGGAUGCUAGCAAGUCGAACGGCCAGCACGGACUUCCGGUCUGAAGUGGCGAGUGGCGAACGGGUGAUAAUGUGUCAGGACGUGCUGGUAACAGGAUAACUGCGCGGCGUACUCAAUACCUAUGCGCCCUUCGGAAAAAAGCGAAGGACGCUCGGGCGCCACUCUCCAGCAACCGUAUCGGGUCUUAACUGAAUUGAUUGGGGUAACGCUCGCAAAGGCGACGAUCGUAGCUGGUUUCAGAGGACUGACCAGCCACACUGGGGCUGAGCGGCCCGAACUCUACGGGAGGCAGCGGUGGGGGUGCGGACAAUGGGGAAACCUGAUCAGCCAUCCCGCGUGUGCGAUGAAGGCCUUUCGGGUUGCCAAAAAACGCCUUGGCGGAAAACGGCACAGGAUGUACCCCGGUAGCUGAUCGAAACACCUGCAGAAUAAGCACCGGCCAACUGCGUGCCGGCAGCCGCGGUAUGCGUAGGGGUGCAAGCGUUAAUCGGAAUUACUAGGCGUAAAGCGUGCGCAGGCGGUUCAGAGGAAAGAGAUGGUGAGAAUCCCAGAGCUUAACACAAGAACUGCAUUUUUAACUACCGGCUAGAGUGUGUCAGAGGAGAGUGGAGAUUUCGCGUGUAGCGAUGAAAUGCGUAGAUAUGCGAACACCGAUGUAGAGCAACCUCCUGGGAUAACACUGACGUCAUGCGAAAGCGUGGGAGCAAACAGGUCCGGAUACCGCCAGUGAGAUUACGCCUGAUGUCAAUAGCUGUUGGGGCCUUCCAGGCGCUUAUUGCUAACUAACGCGUGAAGUUGACCGCCUGGGAAAAUUCUGGUCGCUUAAGAUUAAAACUCCAAAGGAAUUGACAGGGACCCGCACAAGCGGUGGAUGAUGUGGAUUAAUUCGAUGCAACGCGAAAAAGCCUUACUACCAUGACAUGUCUGGAAUCCCGAAAGAGAUUUGGGAGUGCUCGCAAAGAAAACGGAGAACCCACAGAGUGCUGCAUGGCUGUCGUCGAAAAACCGUAUCGUAAAGAUAUUAAAUUCGGUCUGGCAGCGCAACCCUUUGUCAUUAGUUGCUACGAAGGGCACUCGUGGGACUGCCGGUGACAAACCGGAGGAGGUAGGGGAUGACGUCAGGUCCUCAUGAAGCCCUUCUUAUGGUGCGGGCUUUCCCGAUCGCUGGUCAGGACAGAGGGUCACCGGCCAGCCCGCGAAGGGGAGCCAAUCCCGAAGCAGUCCGGAUCGCAGUCUGCCAGCUCGGCUACGUGAAGUCAGAAUCGCUAUUAAUCGCGGAUCAGCAUGUCGCAGUGAAUGCGUUCCGGAACCUUUGCACCGCCCGUCCUACAUGGGGGUAGGUUUACCAGAAGUGGUCCGGCCUAACCGUAGGGCGAUUACCACGGUAGGAUUCACGACUGGGGUGAAGUCGUAACGGGUAA